UUGAACGCUGGGCGGCGUGCUUAACACAUGCAAGUCGAACGGACGCUGGAAAGGUGUCAGUGGCGCACGGGUGAGGAACACGUAGCUGAUCAGCCCGCCAACGCAGCGCGGGAUAAAACGUCCCGAAAGGGAUGCUAAUAACCGCAUAAGCUCCCACACUUUUAGAGGUGCGGAGGGAAGGAAAAGGGUGGUAACUCGCUUUGCGGAAGAAGAGGGCUUGCGGCCCAUUCAGGUUAGUUGGGCGGGGUAACGGCCCACCAAGCCGACGACGGGUAGGGGGACCUGAGAGGGUGAUCCCCCACACCUGGGACCUGAGACACGGCCCAGACUCCUACGGGGAGGCAGCAGUGAGGAAUAUUGCCCAAUGGGCGCAAGCCCUGAGGCAGCGGACGACGCCGCGUGGGUGACGAAGGCCUUCGGGUCGUAAAGCCCUUUUUUCUUGCGUGACGAGGUGGACGGUAGCGCAGGAAAAAGUCUCGGCUAACUACGUGCCAGCAGCCCGCGGGUAAAAACGUAGGAGGCAAGCGUUAUCCGGGAGUUACUGGGCGUAAAGGCGCGCGUAGGGCGGGGUCGAUAAGUGGGGUGGUGAAAGCGCCCGGCUAAAACCGGGCGAGGGACCAUUCAGACUGUCGGUCUGGAGGCGGAUAGAGGGGUGCGGAAUUCCGGGUGUAGCCGGGUGAAAUGUGUAGAGAUCCGGAGGAACACCAGUGGUGCAAACGGCGCCCUGGGUUCCCGUGCUGACGCUGAAGCGCGAAAAGCGUGGGGGAGCGAACGGGGAUUAGAGACCCCGGUAGUCCACGCCGUAAACGAUGUCAACUAGGUGGUCCACCCGGCUACGGUCGGGGGGGUGCCGACGCUAAACCGCCACUAAGUUGACCGCCUGGGGAGUACGGUCGCAAGGCCUAAAACUCAAAGGAAUUGACGGGGGCCCGCACAAGCAGCGGAGCGUGUGGUUUAAUUCGAGGGCUACACGAAGAACCUUACCCUGGGUUUGACAUGGCGGUGGUAGGGAACCGAAAGGGGACCGACCUUCGGGAGCCGUCACAAGGUGCUGCAUGGCUGUCGUCAGCUCGUGUCGUGAGAUGUUCGUAGUAUAAGUCCGAAAAACGUAGCGCAACCCUCGGGUCCAGUUACAGGUGUCUGGACCGACUGCCCGGGAGAACUGGGAGGAAGGUGGGGAUGAUGUCAAGUCCAGCAUGGCCUUUAUAUCCAGGGGCUACACACCACACGCUACAUAUGGGCGGUACAAUGGGUCGCCAGAAGGCCGCGAGGCGGAGCCAAUCCUGAAAAGAAAAGCCGCUUCGUAGUUCGGAUUGGAGGCUGCAAACCCGCCCUCCAUGAAGCCGGAGUUGCUAGUAACCGCAGGGUCAGCCAUAACUGCGGUGAAUUACGUUCCCGGGCCUUGUACACACCGCCCGUCACGUCAUGGGGAGCUGGUCACGCCUGAAGUCGGUCAGCGAAACCGCGAGGAAGCAACCGCCCGGAAGGCAGGGGCCGGUGACUGGGACG
rnacentral:rRNA from 1 species